UAGGGAAUAUUGGACAAUGGGGGCAACCCUGAUCCAGCCAUGCCGCGUGAGUGAAGAAGGCCCUCGGGUUGUAAAGCUCUUUUGUCCGGAAAGAAAAGCUUCGGGUUAAUACCCCGGGGUUCUGACGGUACCGGAAGAAUAAGCACCGGCUAACUCCGUGCCAGCAGCCGCGGUAAUACGGAGGAGGCAAGCGUUAUCCGGAAUUAUUGGGCGUAAAGCGUCCGUAGGUGGAUAUUCGUGUCAGUUGUUAAAGGAUGCGGCUUAACCGCAUAAAGGCGAUUGAAACUGGAUGUCUAGAGUGCGAUAGGGGCAAGGGGAAUUCCCAGUGUAGCGGUGAAAUGCGUAGAUAUUGGGAAGAACACCGGUGGCGAAAGCGCCUUGCUGGGUCUGCACUGACACUGAGGGACGAAAGCUAGGGGAGCGAAAG
rnacentral:rRNA from 1 species